rnacentral:rRNA from 1 species
UACGUAGGGGCAAGCGUUGGUCCGGAAUCAUUGGGCGUAAAGCAGCGCGUAGGCGGCUCGAUCAGUCUGCUGUGAAAGUCAAAGGCUCAACCUUUGAAUGCCGGUGGAUACUGUCGAGCUAGAGUCCGGAAGAGGCGAGUGGAAUUCCUGGUGUAGCGGUGGAAUGCGCAGAUAUCAGGAGGAACACCAACGGCGAAGGCAGCUCGCUGGGACGGUACUGACGCUAAGGCGCGAAAGCGUGGGGAGCGAACAGG